UGCGUAGGUGGUAGACUAAGUCGGAUGUGAAAUCCCAGGGCUCAACCCUGGAACUGCAUUCGAUACUGGCCUGCUCGAGGACUGGGGAGGAGAUUGGAAUUCAUGGUGUAGCAGUGAAAUGCGUAGAUAUCAUGAGGAAGACCAGUGGCGAAGGCGGAUCUCUGGACAGUUCCUGACACUGAGGCACGAAGGCUAGGGGAGCAAACG
rnacentral:rRNA from 1 species